AUUACUGUCACAUUAGAGGAGGACGAAGAAGAGAAGACUGGAGAUCUGAUUAACACCAGUAAAUACAGUGAAUACUAUCUAAUAAAACAGGGACAUUGAUCUGAUAAACACCAGAAAAUACAGAGAGAGACGUGACUACCGUGGAUCCUCUGGGGAGCCACAACAACCUCAUGAUGCUGACAGGGCAGAGAAGAAUCUCUCCACAUCAGAACACCUCAAGAAACGCCAGCGGAGAACCACAGGGAUAAGAUCUCACCGCUGCUUUGACUGUGGGAAAAGAUGCACCUCAUCAGGCAUUAAACUACACCGGAGAAUUCACAUAAGUGAUAAUUUUCACUGCUGCUCUGAUUGUGGGAAAUUUUUUAAAUCUUCAUCAGAACUCAAAAUACACCUGAGAAAUCACACAAAAGAGAAACCUUACUUCUGCUCUGACUGUGGGAAGAGUUUUCCUCUGUCAACCAGCCUGAUAUCACACCAGAGAACACACACAAGAGAGAGAACUUACAGUUGUGAUCAAUGUGGGAGGAGUUUUCCUAUUUUAAUCGCCCUGAUAUCACACCAGAGAACACACACAGGAAAGAAACAAUGUAGCUGUGAUGAAUGUGGGAAGAGUUUUGCUUCACCUGGCGGCCUGACAGCACACCAGAGAACACACACAGGAGAGAAAUCUUUUGGUUGUAAUCAAUGUGGGAAGAGUUUUACUCUGCUAAGCAGCCUGAUAUACCACCAGAAAACACACACAGGAGAGAAACCUUAUAGCUGUGCUCAAUGUGGGAAGAGUUUUACUUGGUCUAGCAUGCUGACUAGACACGAAAGAACACACACAGGAGAGAAAUCUUAUAGCUGUAAUCAAUGUGGGAAGAGAUACUCU